rnacentral:rRNA from 1 species
UCCGGUUGAUCCUGCCGGAGGUCACCGUUAUCAGGUUUCGACUUAGCCAUGCGAGGCGCGAGCUAUUUGGGCUCGCCGAACUGCUCAGUAACACGUAGCUAACCUAACCUCAAGUGGAGGAUAAUCUUGCGAAAGUGAGGCUAAUACUCCAUAGUUGUUGAAUGCUGGAAUGCUUUAACAACCAAAGUCACGGCGCUUGAGGAUGGGGCUGCGACCUAUCAUGGUAGUUGUGAGUAUAAAAUACUCAUAAGCCCGUAACGGGUAGGGGCCAUGAGAGUGGAAGCCUCGAGAUGCCUUCUGAGACAUGAAGGCAGGUCCUACGGGACGCAGCAGGUACGAAAACUUUCCAAUAGCUUAACGGCUGAGAGGGGAAGCCUGAGUGACUAUGCUUUGCAUAGUCUUUUGUUUUGCCUAAAAAGCAAGACGAAUAAGUGGGUAAGACGGGUGGCAGCCGCCGCGGUAAUACCCGCGCCACGAAUGGUGACCACGAUUAUUGGGUCUAAAGCGUCCGUAGCCGGUCAAACAAGUUCUUGGUUAAAUCCAGCAGUUGACUGUUGGCUUGCUGAGAAUACUGUUUAACUUGAGAUUGGGAAAGGAGAAAGGUACUCCACGUGUAGGGGUUAAAUCCUUUAAUCCGUGGAGGACCUCCGGUGGCGAAGGCGUUUCUCUGGAACAAGUCUGACGGUGAGGGACGAAAGCUAGGGGAGCAAACGGGAUUAGAUACCCCGAUAGUCCUAGCUGUAAACGAUGCCCACUUGAUGUUGCAAACUCUACGGGAGUUUGCAGUGUCGGAGCGUAGGUGUUAAGUGGGCCACCUGGGGAGUACAGCCGCAAGGUUGAAACUUAAGGGAAUUGGCGGGAGAGCACACAAGGGGUGGAGGCUGCGGUUCAAUCGGAUUCAACGCCGAACAUCUCACAAGGGUCGACAGCAGAAUGAAGGUCAUCCUGAAGGGCUUACCAAACAAGCUGAGAGGUGUUGCAUGGCCAUCGUCAGCUCGUACCUUGAGGCGUGCAGUUAGGUCUGUUAACGAGCGAGACCCACGCUGCCAUUUGCUAUCAUACUUUCAGAUAAUAUCAAAAAAGUAUGAGCACUAUGGUAGGACCGCUGGUGAUAAACCAGAGAAAGGAGUGGGCGACGGUAGGUCCGUAUGGCCCGGAUACCCUUGGCUACACGCGGCCUACAGUGGUUGGGACAAUGCGUUGCAACGCCGAAAGGCGAAGCCAAUCGUCAAACCCAACCUCAGUUCAGAUUGAGGGCUGUAACUCGCCCUCAUGAAGCCGGAAUCCCUAGUAAGCGAACGUCAUAAUCGUUUGCUGAAUACGUCCCUGCUCUUUGCACACACCGCCUGUCAAGCCAUGCGAGUAGAUUUUUGGUGAGGUUUAGCUUUAACUAACUCGAGCCAAAAGUUUGCGAGUGGGGCUAAGUCAUAACAAGGUA